rnacentral:lncRNA from 1 species
GAUGUUAUUGCAACUACUACAUAUCCCCCCCCCCCCCGNNNNUCCCCCCCCCCCCCCGGUCACUUUGAACGGUCCCUCCGUGUCGACGUUGUAAGUCGAGGACCGCCUGCGCAGCUCGGGCUGCUUCCGCAAAGCCUCGCUCUGGCUGGGAGGGAGGGUCUCCGUGCCCCCCGGAGCCCCUUUCACGCAGAGAGGUCUGCGGCGGGUCCCCCCACGGCCCCCCGGACCCUCCCGGGCCUUCAACCGCCCCCACGGCGCCCGCACGCCGCACACCUGGGGCAGCGCGAAGGCAGCGUCCGCGGGGAGGCUGCCCGGAGGCCUCCUCGUCCGGCCCCGCGGCCCCGCGGCCCCAACCCGGCUGCAAGCGCCCCGGGGCCGCCUGCCCUCCGCUCGCCUUGCCUGGGAAGCUCCGCUCCGCCCGCCGGGCCCGGCUGGAGUCAGGCGGGGCGGCGGAGGGCGGCCUUCAAGAGCGCGGAGGGGCGGCGCUUCUCCGGGCGGAGGGGAGCAGCCGGGGGAGGCGGGGGCGCCGUCGGAGGACCCUCCCCGACUGCGGGCCGAGGGCCGGGGGGACCGACUUGCUGCGCCCGCCUCUCUCCGCGGAGGGUCCCGGGACUCCGGCCAGGGCUCCUCCGCUGCCUGCUCCGGCUGCCCCUCGUCGCCCUGCGCCGGGUUUCGGCAGCGCCCCGCCGGGCCCCCCUCCGGGAGGGCGGCCGGUUCUGCCCCCGGGGCUCGUGGGGCACAAAGGCAGCUCCCCGCUCUCCCCCCAGGGAAACGGCCAGUCGCCCCGGCCGCAGAGCCGGGACGGAACGGCGAAGGUGGCGUCGGCGGGAGGCUCCCUUCGCUUCUCCUCCUCGCUUCCCGCCCAGUCUGGACCGGCCCGGGAAGCGGCCCGGAACCGGAGGAGCCUGCGGGGAGCCGGGCGGGGGCAGCAACCCCAGACUGGGCCGGGGCAGCGAGGCGCCGCGACAUCUCAGCCCCAGCCGGACGCAAGUCACGUUUCUUCACGUCUUGAGCCCCGGUCACACGGCACCAACGGAGGCAAAGAGGAGGUCAAACGGACCCAAAAGCUUGCGAUGCACUCACUGCCUCCGUUUGGCUUCCUCUCUAUCCGUCCAGCAUCCCUUUAUUCACGUUUCAUCCGCUCAGAAAGUUUUGGGCUGCCCAAAACUUUUGCGCGGAAAAUGUAUCCAGUUC